CCUACGGGUGGCUGCAGUGGGGAAUAUUGGACAAUGGGCGAAAGCCUGAUCCAGCCAUGCCGCGUGUGUGAAGAAGGCCUUCGGGUUGUAAAGCACUUUCAGUGGGGAAGAAAGCCUUGGGGCUAAUACCCUCGAGGAAGGACAUCACCCACAGAAGAAGCACCGGCUAACUCCGUGCCAGCAGCCGCGGUAAUACGGAGGGUGCGAGCGUUAAUCGGAAUUACUGGGCGUAAAGCGCGCGUAGGCGGUCUGAUAAGCCGGUUGUGAAAGCCCCGGGCUCAACCUGGGAACGGCAUCCGGAACUGUCAGGCUAGAGUGCAGGAGAGGAAGGUAGAAUUCCCGGUGUAGCGGUGAAAUGCGUAGAGAUCGGGAGGAAUACCAGUGGCGAAGGCGGCCUUCUGGACUGACACUGACGCUGAGGUGCGAAAGCGUGGGUAGCAAACAGGACUAGAUACCCUGGUAGUC
rnacentral:rRNA from 1 species